CCUACGGGAGGCAGCAGUAAGGAAUAUUGGACAAUGCCCGCAAGGGUGAUCCAGCCAUGCCGCGUGCAGGAAGACGGCCCUAUGGGUUGUAAACUGCUUUUACACCGGAGAAAACCCCUUCUCGUGAGGAGGGCUGAUAGUAUGGUGAGAAUAAGCAUCGGCUAACUUCGUGCCAGCAGCCGCGGUAAGACGAAGGAUGCAAGCGUUAUCCGGAUUCAUUGGGUUUAAAGGGAGCGUAGGUGGCCUGCUAAGUCAGUGGUGAAAUCUCUGGGCUUAACCCAGAAAUUGCCGUUGAUACUGGUGGGCUUGAGUGCAGAUGCCGUUGGCGGAAUAUGACAUGUAGUGGUGAAAUACAUAGAGAUGUCAUAGAACACCGAUUGCGAAGGCAGCUGACGAAACUGUAACUGACACUGAGGCUCGAAAGUGUGGGGAUCAAACAG
rnacentral:rRNA from 1 species